rnacentral:rRNA from 1 species
UACGGAGGGGGCUAGCGUUGUUCGGAAUUACUGGGCGUAAAGCGCGCGUAGGCGGACCUGCAAGUCGGGGGUGAAAGCCCGAGGCUCAACCUCGGAACUGCCUUCGAUACUGCGGGUCUCGAGUCCGGGAGAGGUGAGUGGAAUUCCUAGUGUAGAGGUGAAACUCGUAGAUAUUAGGAAGAACACCAGUGGCGAAGGCGGCUCACUGGCCCGGCACUGACGCUGAGGAGCGAAAGCGUGGGGAGCGAACAGG